AGCGAACGCUGGCGGCAGGCCUAACACAUGCAAGUCGAACGGACCCUUCGGGGUUAGCGGCGGACGGGUGAGUAACGCGUGGGAAUAUGCCCUUCUCUACGGAAUAGUCCUGGGAAACUGGGGGUAAUACCGUAUACGCCCUUUGGGGGAAAGAUUUAUCGGGGAAGGAUUAGCCCGCGUUGGAUUAGGUAGUUGGUGGGGUAAUGGCCUACCAAGCCGACGAUCCAUAGCUGGUUUGAGAGGAUGAUCAGCCACACUGGGACUGAGACACGGCCCAGACUCCUACGGGAGGCAGCAGUGGGGAAUCUUAGACAAUGGGGGCAACCCUGAUCUAGCCAUGCCGCGUGAGUGAUGAAGGCCUUAGGGUUGUAAAGCUCUUUCAGCUGGGAAGAUAAUGACGGUACCAGCAGAAGAAGCCCCGGCUAACUCCGUG
rnacentral:rRNA from 1 species